CAACCAUGUGAUAAACACAUAGCGAAUUAUUCUUUCGCCUUUUACUAAAGAAUACCGUGUGUUUGUUACUUAAAUGGUAUACGCUUAUUUUUGGAGGGUCCCUCUUAUUGAGGGCCC
rfam:Lupinus angustifolius cultivar Tanjil contig_11853, whole genome shotgun sequence.